rnacentral:piRNA from 1 species
GGAAUAGGAAAUCCCCAAGAAUGAAGUG